rnacentral:rRNA from 1 species
GAUGAACGCUGGCGGCGUGCCUAAUACAUGCAAGUCGAGCGAACAGACGAGGAGCUUGCUCCUCUGACGUUAGCGGCGGACGGGUGAGUAACACGUGGAUAACCUACCUAUAAGACUGGGAUAACUUCGGGAAACCGGAGCUAAUACCGGAUAAUAUAUUGAACCGCAUGGUUCAAUAGUGAAAGACGGUGUUGCUGUCACUUAUAGAUGGAUCCGCGCCGCAUUAGCUAGUUGGUAAGGUAACGGCUUACCAAGGCAACGAUGCGUAGCCGACCUGAGAGGGUGAUCGGCCACACUGGAACUGAGACACGGUCAAGACUCCUACGGGAGGCAGCAGUAGGGAAUCUUCCGCAAUGGGCGAAAGCCUGACGGAGCAACGCCGCGUGAGUGAUGAAGGUCUUCGGAUCGUAAAACUCUGUUAUUAGGGAAGAACAAAUGUGUAAGUAACUAUGCACGUCUUGACGGUACCUAAUCAGAAAGCCACGGCUAACUACGUG